UGAAUGAACAAAUGAACGGAUGAAUGAAUGGAAAUGCAGGCAAUACCUUGAUCUGAACAGAAUUAAGAAGAAAGAACUUCCACAAUCAUAGCAGAUGAAGAUCCACUGGUAAAUCAAUCAGAAAUUUUGGCCUGCCCGCCAAGGAAAAGUGUUCAGAUGAAAAGACUAAUAUGAUACCAGGAAGUCAAUGACAAAGGGCAGGGAAGGAAGAAGUAUAACAAACUCAAGUCUGCCGGAAGAAGUGUGACGAAGUCACAUCCAGACAGGUAGAAGCAUGAAAUGCGCCAGGAGAACUGUGAGAAACUGUCAAAUUCAUGGCCAGUGUAAAAGGGCAGCCCCUUUUUAGUGUCAGCUGAUUAUAGGCCCAAUACCUAUUCAACAAAUGUUUCUUGAGUACCCUCUUGUGUCAUGCUGUACUCUCUGGGCAUUGGGGAUCAGAGGGACAAAAAUCUCUGCCACUGUAGCACUUUUUAAAUGGAAAUAGAUAAUAGAUACAAUAUAGUAAGUAAAUAUAUUGUACUAGAUGGUGAUAGUUGGUUGGGAAAGCAGCUUAGGAUAAUGAGAAUCAGGUGUGCUGAGGAGGGCUGGAGCUGCAGUGUUAAAUAAAGGUGAUCAGGAUAGACUUUUUUUUUUUUUUUUGAUGUUUGUUAUUU